rnacentral:rRNA from 1 species
GUGUCAGCCGCCGCGGUAAUACGUAGGGUGCGAGCGUUAAUCGGAAUUACUGGGCGUAAAGCGUGCGCAGGCGGUGAUGUAAGACAGAUGUGAAAUCCCCGGGCUCAACCUGGGAACUGCAUUUGUGACUGCAUCGCUGGAGUGCGGCAGAGGGGGAUGGAAUUCCGCGUGUAGCAGUGAAAUGCGUAGAUAUGCGGAGGAACACCGAUGGCGAAGGCAAUCCCCUGGGCCUGCACUGACGCUCAUGCACGAAAGCGUGGGGAGCAAACAGGAUUAGAUACCCGCGUAGUCC